rnacentral:tRNA from 1 species
CAGACAAUAGUUUAUAACAUUAUAAAACAUGAAAUUUGGAGAUUCAAAAACACAGUCUGA